rnacentral:lncRNA from 10 species
CAGCCUCUUUGCAACUCCCGGCCUCAAUUGCCUCACCUCCAAAAUGGAGGUCUUAAUGACAAUGGUCUGGCUUCACUCACAGGGUUAUCGUGAAAAUCAAAAGAGAUUGCUCAGGGAAAAGCCUCUUCAAACUGGAGCUCCAGGUGAUGGUUGUCAUCUGUCGAUGUUGCUCUCUGGUGAGGAAUCCGAGCCUCAGAGAGGGAGUGGGCUUUGUCCGGCAUCACGACAGCUGAAGCCCACAGGCUAGGAUUUGAACCCAGAUCCUGAAGACGCCAGGGCCUUUGCCCCUGUCCACUAGCUGUUGUGGCCUGCUUCACAACCAUGUCUCCUGGCCCCCGCUCCAGGGCUCCAUGACUGCUGAUUAAAAGAACAGCUUUGCCAUAUGGUUUAACCUGAUUUUUCCUCCUCCUUUUUCU